rfam:Gossypium hirsutum cultivar TM-1 chromosome 16, whole genome shotgun sequence
AACCUAAGGUGAAUGCACCUUCGUAAUAAAUCCUUAUACCUCUCCCAUGCAUCAUAUUGAGUCUCUAAAUCUAUUUGCACAAAGGAAGAGAUAUCAUUCCUUAACUU